GAAAUCCGUCGAUUUUNUAAAUCANGAGGGUUCAAAUCCCUCUAUCCCCA
rnacentral:tRNA from 1 species